rnacentral:rRNA from 1 species
UACGGGGGGGGCAAGCGUUGUUCGGAAUUACUGGGCGUAAAGGGCUCGUAGGCGGCCAACUAAGUCAGACGUGAAAUCCCUCGGCUUAACCGGGGAACUGCGUCUGAUACUGGAUGGCUUGAGUUUGGGAGAGGGAUGCGGAAUUCCAGGUGUAGCGGUGAAAUGCGUAGAUAUCUGGAGGAACACCGGUGGCGAAGGCGGGUCUCUGGGCCGAUACUGACGCUGAGGCACGAAAGCGUGGGGAGCAAACAGG